rnacentral:rRNA from 1 species
CCUACGGGAGGCAGCAGUGGGGAAUCUUGCGCAAUGGGCGAAAGCCUGACGCAGCAACGCCGCGUGCGGGAAGAAGGCCUUAGGGUUGUAAACCGCUUUCAGUAGGAACGAAAAUGACGGUACCUGCAGAAGAAGGUGCGGCCAACUACGUGCCAGCAGCCGCGGUGACACGUAGGCACCAAGCGUUGUCCGGAUUUAUUGGGCGUAAAGAGCUCGUAGGCGGUUCAGUAAGUCGGGUGUGAAAACUCUGGGCUUAACCCAGAGCCGCCACUCGAUACUGCUGUGACUUGAGUUCGGUAGGGGAGCAGGGAAUUCCUAGUGUAGCGGUGAAAUGCGCAGAUAUUAGGAGGAACACCGGUGGCGAAGGCGCUGCUCUGGGCCGAUACUGACGCUGAGGAGCGAAAGCGUGGGUAGCAAACAGGAUUAGAUACCCUGGUAGUCCACGCCGUAAACGUUGGGCACUAGGUGUGGGUUCCAACCAACGGAAUCCGCGCCGUCGCUAACGCAUUAAGUGCCCCGCCUGGGGAGUACGGCGGCAACGCUAAAACNCAAAGGAAUUGACGG